GAAAAAGUAAAUACACCCUUGGCUUCAGAAGCUAGUAUUGCCCCCUUUAGCAGAAAUAACAUUUUGUAGGCGUUUUGCAUAAUUGUCUGCUUGUCUCUGACAUCAGCUUGCUGUAAUUUUUGACCACUCUUCCAUGCAAUAUUCUUUCAAUGGCAAGGGAUUUAAAAUGAUCUUCAAAUUAUUUGAAAUACAUCAUUCCAUUGUAAGGAAAAUCAUCUACACAUGGCGCAGAUUUCAAAUGACAAUGUCCAGGACUGGCCGUCCCAGCAAAUUCAGCCCAAGAGCACACUGUCUGAUCCAAAAAGAAGUCUCCAAGAACCCCACAAAUUCAUCACAGGAUCUGCAAUGGCAUGUAAGUCUUGCAGCUGUUGUUGUCAAAGUGCAUGCUUCUACAAUAAGAAAGAAACAAAUUUGACUUGCAUGCUGUCUAAAAAGAACAUUAGAGCAAGACUACAGUUUGCCAGUGAGCAUAUCGACAAAUGGGCAGUGCAUGCAAGAAAACCCUCAAACAUCUUGCAACUGAAAGAAUAUUGCAUGGAAGAGUGGUAAAAAAUUCCAGCAUAUUUUUAAAAUGAAAAAAAAUGUAAAUGAAAAAAUAUGUAAAUAUUAAUAUAUAUGAAUUAACUAUUAAUAAAUGUUAAAGUAAAUAAAAUAUAUAUCCAACCAAAAAGUAGCACCCAAAAUAACAAAUAAAAAUAGACACGUCCAAAAUGAAUAAAAAAACAUUUCAAAUAACACAGAUUUAUUCAGUGACAGUUUUUAUUUCGCCUCUACAGGCCUCUCUCGAACUGUAUGAUGACAGCGGAUCCUUCUCAGCAUCAGAUGCAACCAGGAAAAACUAUCGGUGUGAAUUUGUGCCGAUAACGGUGUGAAUUUGUGCUGGUUAUCAGGGCCAAUUAAUCUCGCAAAACUGAUCAAUCGGUCGACCUCUAAUAUAUAUUUUUCUAAAUAACAGAGAUAAACAGACAUCUGCUUGUGUUGAACAUUCAGUUUAUGACGAAAAAGAUUCUUUGAGUUUUGGACAAACAUGUAAAAAGCACUUAUUUUACUUGUAUUUUACUAAUACUUAGUAAAGUAUUAGUUUGCAUAAACUUGUGUUCUAGACUGUCUCCAUUUUUUUGUUCAAAUGUGAUUUUGCAAGCAAACAAACAAAAAAAGAAGCCAGACUUUGCAUAUUUUUUAAAUGCAAAUUUUUGUUUUAACAGAUAUGCCCAUAUCAGUUGUUAUAUCAAUACCUCGCAGUGUGUAUCUGUGUAUUCGAGCUUCUAAGUUGAGCAAUACGUAAUAACGUGAAUCUUUGAUAAUUGACUUAAUUCCAUCUCUUCAGGCUUUGUGGGCGAGUUUAAUGAGAAAUCCAUGCAGGCGUUGUUGAGCUCCAUCCCAUCAGAUGUCCCGUCUCAAGAGCUCUGUAUCUGGUUAAAGGGUGUGGUGGCGUCCUUGAUGUGGAGAGUGUUGCCUAAAGUACAGAGAGUCCUGGCUAAAUGGUUUGUGCUGCGAGCAAGAGUCCUGGAGUUAAGAAAAGAACGGCUGACCUCAGAACGGACUGAUGCUAGCUGAACUCGGUCUGCCGUCCUUCUGGAUGUCCACAAAUCUGGACUUGCUGGAUUGCUGCAGUUCUCAGAUAACACACAUCUCUGUUCACUCAGUGGGAGGCCAAAGCAGUGGCUCUGGUUCACUGUAUGACUGACACCAAUAUUUUCACCGUACAGGAGUAAACAGGCCCCCAUCUACACCACACUUGACCCUUCCUCGCGAGACAAGAAUCUUCACCAUCUGAAUUAUGAGUGCCUGUCGUCAUUUUUCCUUCUCUCCUUUACUGGAGGGGCUGGAUUUGGAUCUGAACACUCACUAUCAGCUCGCGCAUCUCACUGCUGCCAUCAUGGUGCUACUUAACGUUCUUCGCAGCACCCCUCUGGAAAUGGAAAUGCGGGGUCCCCCCCCUCAGAUACAGAAUCCACCCCGUGAAUGUGUGUAUUGACGCCUCUACACAGACAGACCCUCCGCCUGACCCUCCCUCCAGCUUUCAGUCUGAGGAUGAUGUCACCUUCUCUCAUCUGGGCUCUGACCAUUCUUCCCUCUUCUCACCUGUCAGUCCGCCGUACUCUCAGUGUUCUCCUUAUUUCACCCUUGCUGACUAUCCCAUGUCCCCAGGACACACCCCAUUUUCUUCCCCCUACCGCUCGCCUCAAGAUUACACACCCACCAGU